AAACAACACGAUUCACAUAGAUGUGGUAUGUUCAUUGCAUAUGAUACUCUCCUUGUGUCUUUGCACACAUUGACUUAUAACUGCAGCAGUUAGGUAGUCUACAGUGAGUGUUUGCUAUCUCAAUUUCCCACCAACAUGCAGUCCAUGUUGUGCUCAGACUUAACUUCAUAUUCUGUAAACUCCAUGCUGGAUAAGGCCAGCUCAAAGUACUAAUUUGUUUAUGCAUUUAUAAUACAUUUUUGUUUUAACCUUUUUUUUAUGUAAAUUGUAUCAUGG